GGGGAUAUGGUUUAGUGGUAUAAUGCUUCUUUAGCACUUGAGUUUCGUACUCUAGUAAUAUAGAAGAGGUCCGGCGUUCGAUUCGCCGUUUCUCCA
rnacentral:tRNA from 1 species